UACGAAGGGGGCUAGCGUUGCUCGGAAUCACUGGGCGUAAAGGGUGCGUAGGCGGGUUUUUAAGUCAGGGGUGAAAUCCUGGAGCUCAACUCCAGAACUGCCUUUGAUACUGAAGAUCUCGAGUCCGGGAGAGGUGAGUGGAACUGCGGGUGUAGAGGUGAAAUUCGUAGAUAUUCGCAAGAACACCAGUGGCGAAGGCGGCUCACUGGCCCGGUACUGACGCUGAGGUGCGAAAGCGUGGGGAGCAAACAGG
rnacentral:rRNA from 1 species